UACAGAGGUCUCGAGCGUUAGGCGGAAUCACUGGGCUUAAAGCGUGUGUAGGCGGAUCGGUAAGUCCCUUGUGAAAUCCCACAGCUUAACUGUGGAACUGCUUGGUAUACUGCCAGUCUUGAGCCAGCUAGGGGCUACCGGAACAAAUGGUGGAGCGGUGAAAUGCGUAGAUAUCAUUUGGAACGCCAAUGGUGAAAACAGGUAGCUGGGGCUGUGCUGACGCUGAGACACGAAAGCCAGGGGAGCGAACGGG
rnacentral:rRNA from 1 species